rnacentral:rRNA from 1 species
AACGAACGCUGGCGGCAUGCCUAACACAUGCAAGUCGAACGAGACCUUCGGGUCUAGUGGCGCACGGGUGCGUAACGCGUGGGAACCUGCCCUUAGGUUCGGAAUAACUCCCCGAAAGGGGUGCUAAUACCGGAUAAUGUCUUCGGACCAAAGAUUUAUCGCCUUUGGAUGGGCCCGCGUUGGAUUAGCUAGUUGGUAGGGUAAAAGCCUACCAAGGCGACGAUCCGUAGCUGGUCUGAGAGGAUGAUCAGCCACACUGGGACUGAGACACGGCCCAGACCCCUACGGGAGGCAGCAGUGGGGAAUAUUGGACAAUGGGCGAAAGCCUGAUCCAGCAAUGCCGCGUGAGUGAUGAAGGCCUUAGGGUUGUAAAGCUCUUUUACCCGGGAUGAUAAUGACAGUACCGGGAGAAUAAGCUCCGGCUAACUCCGUG